rnacentral:rRNA from 1 species
UACGUAGGUGACCAGCGUUGUCCGGAUUUACUGGGCGUAAAGAGCGCGCAGGCGGUCGUUCAAGUCGAGUGUGAAAGCCCCCGGCUCAACUGGGGAGGGUCAUUCGAUACUGAUCGACUUGAAGGCAGGAGAGGGAAGCGGAAUUCCCGGUGUAGUGGUGAAAUGCGUAGAUAUCGGGAGGAACACCAGUGGCGAAGGCGGCUUCCUGGCCUGUUCUUGACGCUGAGGCGCGGAAAGCUAGGGGAGCAAACGGGG